rnacentral:rRNA from 1 species
CGCAAUGGGCGAAAGCCUGACGGAGCAACGCCGCGUGAGGGAUGAAGGCCUCUGGGCUGUAAACCUCUUUUAUCAAGGAAGAAGAUCUGACGGUACUUGAUGAAUAAGCCGCGGCUAAUUCCGUGCCAGCAGCCGCGGUAAUACGGGAGUGGCAAGCGUUAUCCGGAAUUAUUGGGCGUAAAGCGUCCGCAGGCGGCCCUUCAAGUCUGCUGUUAAAAAGUGGAGCUUAACUCCAUCAUGGCAGUGGAAACUGUUGGGCUUGAGUGUGGUAGGGGCAGAGGGUAUUCCCGGUGUAGCGGUGAAAUGCGUAGAUAUCGGGAAGAACACCAGUGGCGAAGGCGCUCUGCUGGGCCAUCACUGACGCUCAUGGACGAAAGCCAGGGGAGCGAAAGGGAUUAGAUACCCCUGUAGUCCUGGCCGU